rnacentral:tRNA from 1 species
UAAUGGUAGUAUAAGUACGUACAAUUGCCUUCCAAGCAAGAAAUCCUAAAGGCCAUUAUA